ACGAACGCUGGCGGCGUGCUUAACACAUGCAAGUCGAACGGAAAGGCUCCAGCUUGCUGGAGUACUCGAGUGGCGAACGGGUGAGUAACACGUGGGUGAUCUGCCCUGCACUUCGGGUUAAGCCUGGGAAACUGGGUCUAAUACCGGAUAGGACCCCACUUUGGUGUGUGUGGUGGAAAGGUUUUUCUGGUGUGGGAUGAGCUCGCGGCCUAUCAGUUUGUUGGUGGGGUAAUGGCCUACCAAGACGGCGACGGGUAGCCGGCCUGAGAGGGUGGACGGUCACAUUGGGACUGAGAAACGGCCCAGACACCUACGGGAGGCAGCAGUGGGGAAUAUUGCACAAUGGGGGAAACCCUGAUGCAGCGACGCCGCGUGGGGGAUGAAGGGCUUCGGGUUGUAAACUCCUUUCGCUAGGGACGAAGCUUUUUGUGACGGUACCUGGAGAAGAAGCACCGGCUAACUACGUG
rnacentral:rRNA from 1 species